rnacentral:tRNA from 1 species
GCCGGUGUAGCACAGGGGUAGUGCAGCGGUUUUGUAAACCGAAGGUCGCGGGUUCAAAUCCUGCCGCCGGCACCA